UACGUAGGUGGCAAGCGUUAUCCGGAAUUAUUGGGCGUAAAGCGCGCGUAGGCGGUUUUUUAAGUCUGAUGUGAAAGCCCACGGCUCAACCGUGGAGGGGCAUUGGAAACUGGGAAACUUGAGUACAGAAGAGGAAUGUGGAACUCCAUGUGUAGCGGUGAAAUGCGUAGAUAUAUGGAAGAACACCAGUGGCGAAGGCGACAUUCUGGUCUGUUACUGACACUGAGGCACGAAAGCGUGGGUAGCAAACAGG
rnacentral:rRNA from 1 species